rnacentral:rRNA from 1 species
ACACUGACGACAUGGUUCUACAAUCAACUUUCGAUGGUAGGAUAGAGGCCUACCAUGGUGGUAACGGGUAAUGGGGUGUUAGGGCACGACACCGGAGAGGGAGCCUGAGAAACGGCUACCACAUCCAAGGAUGGCAGCAGGCGCGCAAAUUACCCAAUCCCGACACGGGGAGGUAGUGACAAUAAAUAACAAUACAGGGUUCUUUCGGAUCUUGUAAUUGGAAUGAGUACAAUUUAAAUCUCUUAACGAGGAACAAUUGGAGGGCAAGUCUGGUGCCAGCAGCCGCGGUAAUUCCAGUUCCAAUAGCGUAUAUUAAAGUUGUUGCAGUUAAAAGGCUCGUAGUUGAAUUUCAGGCCUGGCUGUACGGUCCGCCCUUCGGGUGAGUACUGUCUGUGGUCGGGUCCUACCUUCUGGCGAAGCGUCAUGGCCUUAACCGGCCGUGGCGGGGAACAGGACUUUUACUGUGAAAAAAUUAGAGUGUUCAAAGCAGGCAAUCGCUUGGAUACAUUAGCAUGGAAUAAUGGAAUAGGACAAUGGUCCUAUUUGUUGGUUUCUAGGACCGUUGUAACGAUUAAUAGGGAUAGUUGGGGGUAUUAGUAUUCAAUUGUCAGAGGUGAAAUUCUUGGAUUUAUUGAAGACUAACUACUGCGAAAGCAUUUGCCAAGGAUGUUUUCAUUAAUCGAGAACGAAAAGUUAGGGGAUCGAAGACGAUCAGAUACCGUCGUAGUUCUUAACCAUAAACUAUGCCGACAAGGAAUCGGGCGAUGUUGACAAAUGACGCGCUCGGCACCUCAUGGGAAACCAAAGUGUUUGGGUUCAGACCAAG